rnacentral:rRNA from 1 species
UACGAAGGGGGCUAGCGUUGCUCGGAAUUACUGGGCGUAAAGCGCACGUAGGCGGCUUUCUAAGUCGGGGGUGAAAUCCUGGAGCUCAACUCCAGAACUGCCUUCGAUACUGGAAAGCUCGAGUCCGGGAGAGGUGAGUGGAACUGCGAGUGUAGAGGUGAAAAUUCGUAGAUAUUUCGCAAGAACACCAGUGGCGAAGGCGGCUCACUGGCCCGGUACUGACGCUGAGGUGCGAAAGCGUGGGGAGCAAACAGG